GACGAACGCUGGCGGCGUGCUUAACACAUGCAAGUCGAACGCUGAAGCUCAGCUUUUGUUGGGUGGAUGAGUGGCGAACGGGUGAGUAACACGUGAGUAACCUGCCCCCUUCUUUGGGAUAACGCCCGGAAACGGGUGCUAAUACUGGAUAUUCACUGGUCUUCGCAUGGGGGUUGGUGGAAAGGGUUUUUCUGGUGGGGGAUGGGCUCGCGGCCUAUCAGCUUGUUGGUGGGGUGAUGGCCUACCAAGGCUUUGACGGGUAGCCGGCCUGGGAGGGUGACCGGUCACAGAGGGACAGAGAUCCGGCCCAGACUCCGACGGGAGGCAGCAGUGGGGAAGAUUGCACAAUGGGGGAAAGCCUGAUGCAGCGACGCCGCGGGAGGGAUGGAGGCCUUCGGGUUGUGAACCUCUUUCGCUCAUGGUCAAGCCGCAACAAUGGUUGUGGUGAGGGUAGUGGGUAAAGAAGCGCCGGCUAACUACGUG
rnacentral:rRNA from 1 species